rnacentral:tRNA from 1 species
UCCCUGGUAGUUCAGUUGGUAAAGAAUCUGCCUGCAAUGCAGGAGACCCUGGUUUGAUUCCUGGAUUGGGAA